CAGUCGCCGCGGUAAUACGGAGGGAGCUAGCGUUAUUCGGAAUUACUGGGCGUAAAGCGCACGUAGGCGGCUUUGUAAGUAAGAGGUGAAAGCCCGGGGCUCAACCCCGGAAUUGCCUUUUGGACUGCAUCGCUUGAAUCAUGGAGGGGUCAGUGGAAUUCCGAGUGUAGAGGUGAAAUUCGUAGAUAUUCGGAAGAACACCAGUGGCGAAGGCGGCUGACUGGACAUGUAUUGACGCUGAGGUGCGAAAGCGUGGGGAGCAAACAGGAUUAGAUACCCCCGUAGUCCCUGUCUCUUAUAC
rnacentral:rRNA from 1 species